rnacentral:tRNA from 1 species
GCAGUGGUGGUUCAGUGUUAGAAUUCUCACCUUCCACUUGGGUGACCAGGUUCAAUUUCCAGCCAGUGCA